ensembl:lncRNA
AGUAUUAAUAAUAGUAUUAAUAAUAGUUUUAAUAAUAGUAUUAAUAAUAGUAUUAAUAAUAAUAUUAAUAAUAUGUAUGGCAAUGUUAAUGACAGCGUUCGCAGUAGUAUUUGUGGAAGUAUAAGACACGGAUUAAACGACAACAGUAUAAAUUAUAAUCAGAAAAAUAAAAAAUAUAUGCUAACUAAUGACAUUAACUUAAAUAAUUAUUUUUCACAAAAUUAUUUAAACUAUAAAAAUAAUAAAAAAGAAAAAUUAAAAAAUAAAAUUUUGUUUAAAUUAGAAAAAAAAGAUAUACAAUAUGAUAGUUUGGCUUUUCAUUUUUUAUCUUCAGUAGAAAGUAUUUGUAAGGCAUAUUUAAGUAUUGAAAACAUUCCAUCUUUUUUGCAUGUAAGUAAUAAAAAUGAUUCUUUUUAUCAUAUUUUUACUGAAAAGAAUAAAAUUAAUGAUAAUAGUAGUAUGCCUUAUUUAAAUGGUUGUCAAGAUGAUAAAUAUAAUACCAUUACAUUGUUAGAUAGAUCUAUUUUAUGGAAUACUAAUACGGAAGACAUACAUGAACUAGAUUCUAGGCGAAGUGUACAAUCAUAUAAUGCUUUAAGUAGAAAUACCUCUACUAGUAAUUACAAAUGUUAUAAAAAUUAUAAUGAAGAUAGUGUUUAUGAUGGUAUGAGUAGUGUACCUCGCAAUCGUAAUAGUAGUACCACACGCAGUGUCACACACAGUAGUAUUCACAACAGUACAUACAGCACACACAGUACAUACAACUGUGUUGAUAAAACAAACGGAUUAAACAAAGAUUACUGGAUUAAACAACUAAAAGAUAGAUUAAAAAUAUAUGAUAUUGAAUGGCAUGAAGCAUAUGAACAAAAAUAUUUGAAUUUGGUUGUAUGUAUGAAUACAAUGAUAGAAAAUUUUAAAAAAAAAAAAUUAUUUUUAAAAAUUAUGAAAUAUAAUAUACCUACUAUAUGGUUAAAUAAAUUACAAAUAUAUUUACAGUACAUACAACUAGCUAUUAAUUCGAAAUUUUUUUUAGGUUCAACAUAUAAUGAAAUAUAUUUAUUUAUAAAAAAAAAAUAUUUACUUGUGCUUGACUUUGUAGAGGAUCACAUAAAUGAGCAGGUUAGUGACGAGGAGGUGGACAU